GCGCAGCAGGCGAGAAUCUUCCCCAAUGGACGAAAGUCUGAGGGAGCGACGCCGCGUGAAUGAAGAAGCCCUUCGGGGUGUAAAAUUCUUUUCUUUAGGAAAAUUCGUGAUGGUACUAAAGGAAUAAGGGGCCGCCAAACUCGUGCCAGCAGCGGCGGUAAUACGAGUGCCCCGAGCGUUAUCCGGAAUUACUGGGCGUAAAGCGCUAAAAGGGCGGUUUGAUAAGUCAGACGUCAAAUCUCCGAGCUCAACUCGGAGCCGGUGUCUGAAACUGGUCUAACUUGAGGACGGAAGAGGCAAGCGGAAUGGCUGGUGUAGCAGUAAAAUGCGUUAAUAUCAGGCUAGAACACCAAUGGC
rnacentral:rRNA from 1 species